rnacentral:lncRNA from 10 species
CCACCCUCCCCUCCCCUUCUGCCACCAGCACGACCCAGAUCACAUUAGAGUCCCAGAGCACAGGGAACAGUUCUCGUCUAUCCGUCACCAAGGAGGCAGACGGGACAGGGGGAACAACAAGUCAUUUGUACCUGAUGAGGAGGACACUCCUGGGAAACAAACAGAUGAGCCACCCCAUGAAUCUGAGCCAUUCUCCGAGAAUGGUACAGGAUCUAUUUGCCAGAACAAUUUUUUUGAAGACCCAGGCUCUCAUCAUUUCAAGACAAGGGGUCCCUGGAUCAAAAUAGAACCAAAAGUUUCAUUUGGCAUCAAUCAACCUUAUCAGCAGAGUCCAGGGAUUAUCAGCAGAGACCGGGGCUUUUAUCAAGACACAGAGCACAAGUAAAUCCUAUAAUCUAAAUUUGCAACAUUUAUGACCUGGAAAGCAGCCCCAGGUAGGCAAAAACAACUGACCUUUUUCUACUCCUCCAAAACACCUGCUUGGUACUGCCUCGUCUCCCACAACACUUCUCGACAGUGGUGAUCUUGAAAUGUUUAUGCUUAAGUCGUGUCUUCCAAAUUAGCCUCUAAGUUACUUUAGGGCAAGAGCCAUGUCUUCGUGUGUCCUGCCCAGUGUUAGGACUGGAUCCUCAGGAAAUACCUAUUGAAUAAACUUAGAUCUUUUCACAUCCUUUCAAUUCUGUCAACCCACAUAAGGCUGGCUAACAGCAAAGCUGUGGGGGAACUUAGCCUACAUUCUUCAAUCCAGAAUCCCUGAACACAGCUAGCAUGGUUCAAGAUUAAUAAGUACACUGGACAGUUCUUUGGAGCCCCGUGAUAUUAUUGGAAUGCUUUUACUUUGAGAUCUUGACCUCCUAAUGUUAACAGAGCUUAGGUGGUAACCUAAAAUCACUGGAAAGAUAUCACUCUGGAAAAAUGAGUAAAUGACAACAAAUCAACCUUGCAACAUCUCUGGAUAAUUGCUAUCUACUCUGUCUAAUUAUUCCUACAAAAGGUAACUUGUCUUUCUUACAUUUCUGAAAUGUGGCCUGAGGUACCUCAGGUAGUAGUUACCCACUGGCUGGUCAACUGUGCAGAUAUGGAAAACAUAUUUGGCUAUAUUUCAGUGAGGCAAUAAAAGACACUACUUAAUUUCAAACUUUUUAUUAAUUAUGUCUUAUCAGUCCCUUUCUCCAGAAGAUACCGAUAUGAUUCUUCAGUUCAGUUCAGACAUCCUAACUUUCCAUUUUACAUUAAAUGGGACAUUUUAAUAUAUAAGCUUUUGGAAAUAAUUAGAAUUCACAUGUAGAUUUUUUUGUAAUCAGAAUUUUUAAAAUUACAGUAUAUAAUUACAAUGUACUAUAAGAAAUUGUCAAGUGGAUAACCUUGUUGCACUGAAAUGUUUUUGCUGUAAACAAGUCUCUCCUUUAGUGGAAUAUUUGUCAGUGCAUGUAUUCAAAGAAGCGCUCUCAAGGCAUGUGCUCAGAAGUUAGGAAAUAAUUAUAUUUCCAAACAUAAUCUUUUCUAAUCAUCCCAUUUUGUUUUGUUUAAAAAUAACCUGUGGGUUUCUAAGACAGGCACAAUUAUCUUUCAUCUCAGCUCCAAGAUACCAUCCUUCCAGAAAAUGAUUUGGGGUGGGGGGAAACAAACUCAGAGGUCACUUUUCUUUUUCUUUCCUUGAAAAUCCUCACUCUAAUUGCAAAUAAAUAUACUAGCAAGGAACUGCCUAAGUUUAGCUGCUAGGUUUUUAAAGCAAGAUAAGUGGGAAAGCACUGAAUUUGUAGUAAUAUUUAACAACUCAUCCACGCAGUAUUAAUACAUAGUGAUUUUCAGCGGUACAUAGACAAGGCUAAUUUCAAUUCAACAAACUUUUAUUGAGCGCCUAAAAUACGCCGAGGACUCUGCUAAGUGUUGGGGGCACCAGGGUGAAGAUGAUAAAGUUCUCGACUUACAAAGCUUAGUUUCUGGAGAAGACAAACAGUAAAUAAGCACUUUUAAUAAGUUACGCUCAAAUUGGCAUGAGAACAUGGAAGAGGUGGGGUGGUGAAUUCUUA